UGCAGAGUAGAUAAAUGCGCGUCAAGUGCCAUGCCGGACGGGGAGUUGCCGGCGGGACGAAGGGCUAUGCCCGCGGUGCAUCUAUCGCAUCCCGCUGCA
rfam:Clostridium sp. CAG:58 genomic scaffold, scf171